rnacentral:rRNA from 1 species
UAGGGAAUCUUCGGCAAUGGGGGGAACCCUGACCGAGCAACGCCGCGUGAGUGAAGAAGGUUUUCGGAUCGUAAAGCUCUGUUGUUAAGGAAGAACGAGUGUGAGAAUGGAAAGUUCAUACUGUGACGGUACUUAACCAGAAAGGGACGGCUAACUACGUGCCAGCAGCCGCGGUAAUACGUAGGUCCCGAGCGUUGUCCGGAUUUAUUGGGCGUAAAGCGAGCGCAGGCGGUUAGAUAAGUCUGAAGUUAAAGGCAGUGGCUCAACCAUUGUAGGCUUUGGAAACUGUUUAACUUGAGUGCAGAAGGGGAGAGUGGAAUUCCAUGUGUAGCGGUGAAAUGCGUAGAUAUAUGGAGGAACACCGGUGGCGAAAGCGGCUCUCUGGUCUGUAACUGACGCUGGGGCUCGAAAGCGUGGGGGGCGAACAGG